GACGCGGUGGCGCAGCGGUUAUGUGCGACGGCAUCCAUGAUGAUUGAGGAAGGGGCCCGGGUUCGAGACCCGGGCAGCGUCA